GUCCUUCUACUGAGAGUCGUAAAAGGAACUCUGCUUAAUUCUGGAUCAGAUGACUGAGGUAAGUAUUUGCUUGUCCCACCAAAGGGAGAUUUGCCUUUAAAUAUCUGAAAUAUCUGUCAUAGUAUGCUUUCCUCCUAUAGUAGUAGUAAAGAUAAAAAUCCAUCUCUAUCAGCUGACUUACGUGCUUUUUCCUUCUACACUUAACUGCAAUAUAUUAAUUCCUUUGACAGUCAAUAACUACGUAUUUCAAGAGAUAAUUAUUUCCCCUUAUAUGAAUAUGUUCCAAAGCCUUUGCAAAAGGUCUGUGAGAGGAAAAGCUCAUUAGUGUGUUUAAACUUCUAAAGAAAUUAAGUGUAGAGUGUAUAGUAAGAUGAAAAAGUAUCCAGAAGGAGGGAAUGUUGCCCAUGUAAGUUCAAUCAUACUAAAAUUACUCUUUCAUUUAUUAUAAAACCUGAUUAUUUUUUCCUAAUAGAAAAAUACAAAUGAGUAAGAUCUGCAAUUUUUCUAAAGGAUUAUGGACAGAACCUUUAAAGAUUCAGUGGCGCUCAGUAUGUCAAAACACUUGAGCAGCUGUAAGAUCAGAACUCAAAGGCCGAGCAAGGAUGCAGCCACCUAGGAGGCUGAUUAAGGCUUUCUAGGUUUGACCGAGAAGGGAACAGAACAAGGACACCUGAGAAAGAUGCUGACUUCAGCCUGUUUAAACUGUUUCAUUGAUGUAAGUCCUCUGUUUCUGCAAGUACAUGAAACACUGGUCCAAAGAAAGAUUUUCAUCCAUACCCUAUUUUGAAAGGUCAGGUAGCAACAGCAAUGAACACAUGACAGCCAAAAAAAUUAAAAGGCAACACAGCUCUUAAGUGGAAUUUUUAGCCCUGAAUUUGAUAGUAUGUACUUCACGAUGGACUUCAUUGGAUUACAUUUAAAGCUCCAACACAAGUAUCAAUGGCACAAGCUGAAUGGUGUUACUGUGGGGUAAAAAAUUGACUUGUUACAACAGAACUAACCUCUGAAU
rnacentral:lncRNA from 1 species